rnacentral:rRNA from 1 species
AUUGAACGCUGGCGGCAGGCCUAACACAUGCAAGCCGAGCGGUAGAGAGGUGCUUGCACCUCUUGAGAGCGGCGGACGGGUGAGUAAUGCCUAGGAAUCUGCCUGGUAGUGGGGGAUAACGCUCGGAAACGGACGCUAAUACCGCAUACGUCCUACGGGCGAAAGCAGGGGACCUUCGGGCCCUGCGCUAUCAGAUGAGCCUAGGUCGGAUUAGCUCGUUGGUGAGGUAAUGGCUCACCAAGGCUACGAUCCGUAACUGGUCUGAGAGGAUGAUCAUUCACACUGGAACUGAGACACGGUCCAGACUCCUACGGGAGGCAGCAGUGGGUAAUAUUGGACAAUGGGCGAAAGCCUGAUCCAGCCAUGCCGCGUGUGUGAAGAAGGUCUUCGGAUUGUAAAGCACUUUAAGUGGGGAGGAAGGGUCGUUACCUAAUACGUGACGAUUUUGACGUUACCGACAGAAUAAGCACCGGCUAACUCUGUGCCAGCCGCCGCGGUAAUAC